rnacentral:rRNA from 1 species
GCGAACGCUGGCGGCAGGCCUAACACAUGCAAGUCGAACGAACCUUCGGGUUAGUGGCGGACGGGUGAGUAACACGUGGGAACGUGCCUUUUGGUUCGGAACAACUCAGGGAAACUUGAGCUAAUACCGAAUGUGCCCUUCGGGGGAAAGAUUUAUCGCCAUUAGAGCGGCCCGCGUCUGAUUAGCUUGUUGGUGAGGUAAAGGCUCACCAAGGCUACGAUCAGUAGCUGGUCUGAGAGGAUGAUCAGCCACAUUGGGACUGAGACACGGCCCAAACUCCUACGGGAGGCAGCAGUGGGGAAUCUUGCGCAAUGGGCGAAAGCCUGACGCAGCGACGCCGCGUGGGUGAAGAAGGCCUUAGGGUUGUAAAGCCCUUUCAGUGGGAAAGAUUGUGACGGUACCCACAGAAGAAGCUCCGGCUAACUCCGU